ensembl:lncRNA
GCACGCGGCCUCGUGGUCGCCAGCCCGCGUAUCUCCGGCCGGCGCGACACUAGGCCAGCGCUGGUGGCUCGGAGGUGAAGCCCCGCCGUCUCUGAAGACGGUUAAGGGGGUCUUUACCCUCAAGACUAGGGCUGUCCGCGAGUGAGACUCAAACGCUGAGGUGAAAACAUCCGCGGAAUAUGGAGACCGAACCACACACAGGCCGACCCCAGAGGCGAUAACCCCAAAGAAACUCCUUUCCCAUCGAGGAGAUGGACUGAACCCAAUCAGUUAUCCAGAGGGAUAGAAAGCAGGGUGUGAUGACACAGACCAGGCCAUAGUCCUAUCACUGGGAAGGCAGAGGCAGGAAGACGAAGACUUCAAGACAAUGGAAGAAGGUGUUACUGGAGUUAGAGACUCUAGUGAAGCCCAGGUGGAUGCUGGAAAUCAAAUCCCCAGUCUUCAGGAAGACCAGUCAGCCUUGUAACUACUGAACCAUCUGGAUCCUGAUCCAGCCCCUCAACUAUAAUGUUAAUUGAUGUCCUUAUCCCAUGGCUUCUGUGAAUCCAUACACUGCUCAAGGAAAGCAAAACCUGUCACUUGCAGAAACCGACAUCUACAAAGUUUACAUUCUGUCUUCCAAAACCAUCUCCCUUUCUCCUAUAUGCAGAUGGACACACAGUAUAAGGGAGAAGAUUCCAACCUUGGUGGUUACAUUGUGUCUAAACUCCACAUUAAUU